UUUGGUGACGAUAGCGGAAGGGAACCACGCGUACCCAUCCCGAACACGGCCGUUAAGCCUUCCAGCGCCGAUGGUACUUGGACCGAAGGGUUCUGGGAGAGUAGGACGUUGCCAAGC
rnacentral:rRNA from 1 species